CUCUCUUUCUUUUUUUAAUUGCAGGGCUGCAGACAGCCUUGAGCAAGGUAAGCAAGUACUCCCCGAGAGUUACAACUUCAGAGCAGAAUGAGGAAAGUUUUAAAAUGCUUCAUUGUGUUGUAGUUUGUUAGUUUUAACUUGGAUAUGGAGGAGGAGGGAGCAACAGCAAGAAAGUGAGAGAGCAAUGGAGAGUCGGAUUGAGUGAAUCAGAAUGUGAGGCAGGAAACGGAGAAACCUAGUGCUUGGUGUGGUGGGUGACGAUAGGAAAACAGAUUUUGUAGCGUCCCUGGGAGGUUUAGUAGGAUAUGCCUGUCCUUGAAAGGAACCUAUGUCAGAUGACCACCCUAUAAUUAAGCCUUAGAGACUGGAGAUAGAUGACUUCUGUGGCUGUGGACUCUGUGCCUGCUGGUCGCUUGACUAUCCUUAAGUCUCACAGCCUUGAGAAGCAAACCUUCACCUUCAGACUGCAGACACCUGCUGUUCACUCCAGCCUGGCUCGCUGGGGAACAGGUCUUGGGGAGCAGCCAAACUCGGCCUGAGGGCGGAGUCGAGGCUUCAGAGUUGGUCUGGAGGUGAGGCUUCUGAGUUCAGCCUGUAGGCGGAACUAGGUGGAGCUCCACCCUGAGAGACGAGGCGGAGGAAGCGCUUCCUCCAGGAGCCGACCCGAGAAGGCGGGACUGAGGCGUUAAAGCUCCUUCCCUAGAGAACAGGGCUGAGGAGGCGGAGCCGCGCUUUUGGAGUUUCCUUUGGAGGGCGGGGCCGAGGAAGCGGAGCUGAGGCAUUGGAGCUCUUCCCUAGAGGCCGGUCUGAGGAGGUGAAGUUCUGUCUCAAGGCGGGGCUGAGGCAUUGGAGGCACUCGCUAUCUCAAGGUCACGCCUAGGCAGCAGAGCUCGCCCACUAGAAGUGGGAGUCAGGCGUGGGUGGUUUCCACGCCCCCGUGGAGGCGGGGCUGAGACGGUGGAGCUCCGCCCUGAGGGGGGCGGGCUGAGGCCCCAGACCUGUCCCAUUUGGAGGAGGAGCUGAGAAUCCGGAGCCCCUCCCCUGGGGUAGGGCGGAGACUUCGGCGCUCGGGUUGGAGGCGGGGCAAACGCGUCCAGACCUCCCUGCCCGCUUGCCUUUUGACUUUAGAGGACCUCCAGGCUGUACUACGCUUUGCCGGAAGUUCUCGUAACAUUUCCGGCAGAACAUUUCUGGAUCGGAGACCUUCCUAGAGUGUUUGUAUAUUUUCUGCUAGGUGGGCGGCCCAGCCAGGAUGCGGAGCGGGUUUCUGAGCGGUGCCCGGCGCCUGUGGGCCCGCCGCGCCUUCAGCCGCACGCCGCCGCCUUCCGAGGAGCUCCUCGCCCGCGGCGGGCCCCUGCGGGCCUUCCUGGAGCGCCGCGUGGGCUCGGAGGCCGGUGGUCUGGACGCUGGGUACCCCCAGCUGGCCGCGGCCGCCCGACUGCUGAGCGAGAAGGAGCGGGAGCUGCGGGACACGGAGUCAUUGCUGCACGAUGAAAAUGAAGAUUUAAAGAAACUUGCGGAGAGUGAAAUAGCUUUGUGUCAAAAACAAAUAACUGAGCUGAAGCAUCAGAUUAUCUCACUGUUGGUUCCUUCGGAAGAAAUGGAUGGGAGUGACUUGAUCCUGGAGGUGACUGCGGGUGUGGGUGGUCAGGAAGCCAUGCUUUUCACUUCUGAGAUGUUUGACAUGUACCAGCAGUACGCUGCAUUUAAAAGAUGGCAUUUUGAAACACUGGAAUAUUUCCCCAGUGAACUAGGUGGCCUUAGACAUGCGUCAGCCAGCGUUGGCGGCCCAGAAGCCUAUAGACACAUGAAGUUUGAAGGAGGAGUGCACAGAGUCCAGAGGGUGCCAAAGACGGAGAAGCAGGGCCGCAUCCACACGAGCACCAUGACAGUGGCAAUUCUGCCCCAGCCUACUGAGGUAUUAUUUCUGAAUGCCAGCAAGAGAGAUCUCAGCUGAAGAACAGGGAGCUGGCUAUGAAAAAGUUACGUGCAAGGCUAUAUAGCAUGCAUCUGGAGGAAGAAACUGCUAAAAGAUACAACGCUCGGAAGAUCCAGGUUGGAACUAAAGGAAGAUCAGAGAAAAUAAGAACAUACAACUUUCCACAGAACAGGGUCACAGAUCACAGAAUAAACAAGUCACUGCACGACCUUGAGAGCUUUAUGCAAGGAGACUGUCUUCUGGAUGACAUGAUUCAGUCACUGAAGGACUGUUCGGAUUAUGAGGCUCUAGUAGAAAUGAUUUCCAGAAGAGACUAAGCUUCUUUGUAAAGAUAUAUUUCUAUGUAGGCUAGGAACGUUCUAGUGCAAAUCCAUUGUGUGCAAAUACUUAGCCAGGAUUCACUGGAGGAAUGUUAAGUAACAGUUUCUUGGACAAUUCUCUAUAAAAAAAAAAUUAGACACAAAGGAAGACAGUUGUUUUAUGCAAAAUAUUUAAUCAGAAAUUUCAAAUAUAAAGCAGAUAUGUUCAUGUUAAGAUGACGGAAGGACACAGAAGCCGACAGUGGGAUGAACAAGAAGCGACGAAGUCAAGCACGUUAGGGCUGAUAGUGCUGUGAACAGCCUACACGGAGUUCUAGUGAAAGGAAGCAUUACGCGGUGCUCCCUCCCUGUGAUGGAGUCAGGCAUGUUGUAAGGGUAGCCCCUCAAUGAUGGAAAUGUUCCUGGGUUACCCUGCAGCUGGUCCCUUGGGCCUUGCAAACAGAACCUCAAGCCCUUGGGAGCUGGUAGCCAAACAUCUCCUAUCAAGAUGUGAGCUUUACUGAAUAGUACGCGUUGGUGGGCUUCUAUAUCAGUUCCCCAGAAAAACAGAACCAAUAGGAUGUGUCUACACAAAUUCACUAUAAGGAUGGUCCCACAUAGAGAACCAUGUGUCCAAGUCUAUAGUGUGAUGCAGCUGGGUGGAGACAAGAAGAGUUCAUGGUUCACUCUACUUGGGAGUUUGCUAGGGAGAUUUCUUUGGAUUAGAGGUUGGAUUUUCUCUACUCAGGCCUUUAUUCCAGUUGGAUAAAACAUGUUAGCAUGACUGAUAUUUCACUCAUUUAAAUGCCAGUGAAACCUCCAAACCUUGAGGAGACCCAAAAUAAUGUUAACAAAUAUUAGGGUUCUCUAGAGUCACAGACCUUAUGAAUCUCACCCCACCCCCCGCCUCUACAAAUGUAAAGAGAGUUCAUUGGAAUGAUUUAACAGUCUACAGUCCAACAAUGGCUAUGUGAAUGGAAAGUCCAAGAAUCUAGUAGUUGCUCAGUCCCACAGGGCUUGGUGCCUCAGCUAGUCUUCGGGAUAUGUGGGAAUCUGAAGAAGUAGAUUUCAAUGCCAGUGAAGGAAUGGAUGUAAUAGCCAGGCAAGGACAAGCAGGCAAAGAACCAAACUUCCUUUCAUCUAUUGCCCUUACAUAGGCUUCUAGCGGAAGGUGUGGCCCCAGAUUAGAGGUAUCUUCCCAGCUUCAUGACCAAAGGCAUGUUGUCUUGCCUCAAAAACCAGAAGGUGUAACCUUCAUUUCUGGAUUGUAGUUCAUUCCAUAUAUAGUCAAGUUGACAACUAGCCAUUUACAGUCACAAUAAAGGCUAGCCAAGUCUACAAAAUUAACCAUUAUGGUGUCCAGGAGUAGCCCUCGAGGCUGUGCCAUGGAAGAGGAGAAAUGAAACAUCCAGUGUUUCUCCACCACCUACUACUUACAAGCUUCACGUGCUACCAGCAAAGACAUCAAUAGUUUGAAUGUGUCGCCUCUAACGGAGGUGGUGGUGCUAAUGUGAUCAUAUUAAGUAUAUAGCGUCACAACUAAUUUCUUAAGAGUCCCUUCUGAAUGGGGCUAAUGUCUGUAAGCUGUCACACACCCAGAAUCACUGCCCAGUAAUGUUUUCAUACAUUCAAUGUCUGAAAUACAUUACAAACGUGACAUUUUACUCUCAUACAUAUCUGGCACUUAGACACAAUCCUACUUAAAUAUCAUUGCAUGACAAAAUUUAUGGUAAAUCCCAAAUAAUUUACUCAAUACCUAAUAGAUUUCUCUCCUUUUUCCUUAGAUGUGGUGGAGUUGGCUUCUUCAAACAAAUAUCCAAUUACAUACUAUCUAGUGGGCUUUCCCUUAAUAGACUUCUAGUCCCCUUUGUCAAGGCACUGCACUGGAUUUUCAUCUAUGAGAAUCAAAGUAGAUAUUGAUACUAUGAGUUGUUCAGCCAUUAUGGGGCAUUAACACAUGAGACUUGCCCAGUUUAAAGUACCUCCAUCUUUUCUUGUGACUUGGCACUGUUGUCAUAAAAAUUUGUAUUGAAAGAGGGAGGGUUGGACUGGUCCAUGCUGCUGUAUUCUUAGCCUUGAAAACCCAGCUUGUAAUUUGCAGUGGACUUUAUAUUGUGUAUUUAUUGCCGCACUAUUUGAAAGGAGUAGCACAGAACUAUUAAUGAUAGGCAAGGAUUUUUAAGCUGCCUACAGUGCUUAAUGCAUAAAGCAGGUUAUAUGAACAGUAUCCCUUCCAAUCUCAUGAGAGGUACUUUACCUUUCAGAUGUGUAUAUUAAUCUGCUUUGUAUAUGCAUAGGUGGUUUUCAUGCAUGUAUGUUUGUCCGCUGUGCCCAUGGAGUACCCUUGGAAGCCAGAUUAGGGUGUAUGAUUCCCUGGGAUUGUAGUUAGAGACAGUUGUGAGUUGCUCAGAGAGUACUGGGAAUUGAACUGAGGUUCUCUGAAAAGCAGCCAUUGGUCUUAACUACCAAGCCAUCUCUCCAGCCCCUUAUUUUGCAGUUGUUGGGUUUUUGUUUGUUUGUUUUUUGGUUUUGGCCCACCCCACCCCAACCCCUAGACUGUUUUUCUGUAAUAGUCCUGGAACUCACUUUGUAGACCAAGCUGGCUUCUGCCUACUCAGUUCUAGGAUUAAAGGAGCCUUAUUUUACAUUUUUAAGAUGUUGGUGAAUAGCUUUCAAAAACCCAUACAACUCAAGACUGAUUAUUCAAACUGUAUUCAGAGCCUCCCAUAUUUUAUUAUUUCUGCUUUAGCCUUAACAUUACAAUUAUAUUAAGUAAUUACAGUUUACCUAGUCUCUCCUUGAUCUGAAAGACAGUUAAGAUGGAUUGUGAAGAAUAUUAAAUGUUAGAUUUUACUGGGCAGUGGUGGCACACUCCUUGGAUGGAGAGCCAGGCAGAUCUCUGAGGUUGAGACCAGCCUGGUCUACAUAGUGAGUUCCAGGACAGCCACAUAGACCCAGUCUCAAAAACAAAACAAAAUAUUGGAUUUCAUUCUAUUAACAAGGGAAAACAGUUACCCAAGAGUACCUGGGAAGAGAAAGGUAUGAGACUUGUAGGUUACAGACAAAAAAAAAA